AGGAAGUUAGGUCCUGUGAAAGAACAGGAAGUGUUCUGACCCACUGAACUCUCUCCAGCUCCAAGUCCCACUUUUUAGACUUUCUUUGUUGGGUUUUGGUUCUGUGGGUGUUUUGUUUCUGUUUUGUUUUUGAGACAGGGUCUAACUCUGCAGCCCUGGCUGGCCUGAAAUUUGCUAUGUAGAUCAGACUGGCCUCAAAUUCAUGGGGAUUCAUCUUCUGCCUCUCAAGUGCUGGGAUCAAAGGAAUUUGAAUGUAAAUAGAAAUACCUCCCCACACCCCAUGAAGUUUUCUUUGGAAGAUUUAAAAGAGGUUUGUGUUCAUUUAAAAACUGGAUUAUUUCUGAAUUAUACUGAACGACAACCCUUCUAUGAAGUUAGUAAACUUUUUGAAUCUUUUUUCACAUGGAGAUUUGGUUUUAGUAUAUGAUUUGGGGAUGUCAAAGCUCUUAAAUAAGAAAGAUCUUAACAGUGUGCUGUGGGAGAAUGAAAAACGUGUAAAGCUGUCGAGUCCCCAGCUUGCCUGCUACCUAUGUGGAUGUGUUCCCCAGGAGAAUCAGCCCACGUGGGAAGUGAGAAAUAAGACUCAUGUGCUUAAGUCCUGAUGUUCUGCAGCACCUGAGGAGUUAACUACUUGUAGGACCCUUCUUAUCCAGGCUGGCCUGGUCUUUGUUCAUUCGCUGUGUUGUCUUUCCCAACAGAGUCAUCUGAUCUUAGCUGUGGCUCACUUAGUCCCUGUCCUCUGAAAGCUCACCAUGAAAAUUUUCUAUAACCAAGUCUUUUCUUUGGUUGGUUGGUUUUUUUUGAGACAGGGUUUCUCUGUAUAGCCCUGGCUGUCCUGGAACUCACUUUGUAGACCAGGCUGGCCUCNNGGCCUCGAACUCAGAAAUCCACCUGCCUCUGCCUCCCGAGUGCUGGGAUUAAAGGCAUGCACCACGAUGCCCAGCUCUCUAUAACCAAGUCUUAACUUAUUAAUUACCAUACUAAACAUCCCUUAUAAUGUGUGAUGUCUUCCUUUAGGAGAGAUGGCUUAUGUAGGUAGCUCUUGGCUUGGUCCGUUUCAUAAGAGUCCCUUUAUAAAGAAGUAUGUCAUGGUUUCCAAUGGGGGUAAAACUUAGAAAAACAAAUGAGAAUGUUUUUAGCUAAAGAAGCCAAACACUAGGGCCUGGAGAGAUGGCUCAGCAGUUAAGAGCACUGGCUGCUCUUCCAAAGGGCAACGGUUCAGUUCCCAGCAACCACAUGAUACCUCAUACCUGUCUAUACUUCCAGUUUGAGGGGAUUAUCACCCUCAGACAUACAUGCAGGCAGAACACCAAUAUAUAAAAUAGAUAAACUAUUACAAUAAAGCUCUGAGCUUUGGUCACUUCUGACAGUUAAUUUUGUUGGUGCCACAUGUCCAUUUAAUCCAUCCCAGGUAUAAGCACAAUGAAUACAUUUACUUAUUGAGUAGGAUUGGCCCAAGUGGCAAAAUCCCCUUUUAAGAUUUAUUUUUAAGCUAGGUGUGUUGAUGGUGCAACAACUUUAAUCCCAGUGCUAGUGAGGCAGGGGCAGGUGGUUCAUUUGAGUCCAGCAUAGUCUAGACAGUGAGUUUCUGAACAGCUAGGUCUACACAGAGAAACCCUAUCUUGAAAAAAUUUUUAAAAGAUUUAUUUUAUUGUGGCGGGAGGGGGGACUUUGGCGCACACACAUGUCACUUUGGGAACUUAUAGAUGUCCCAUGUAUGUGGGUGCCAGCAGAGGCCAGAAAGGGGAGUUUGGAUUCCUCGAAGCGGAAGAUGUAUGCAGUUGUGAGCUGGCAGACCUGGUGCUGGGAACAAAACUCAAAUCCUCUGAAAGAACAGCAAGCACUCAGAAACACUGAGCCAUCUCUCCAGCACCAUGAAUAAGUCUUUGUAAUAGAAUUUUUCCUACUACUGCGAUGGUGGCUUUUCUGGCAGAGGAAGACUUCAAAUCAGUCCAAAAGCAUGCAAAUUUAGCAUUGGGAUCUAUUUUAGCUUUAAGUAGGAAAAUUUGGAUAAAAUCUUAUCAUCAGGUAUCAAACAUUUCAUAUAAGAAUGGGAUAGAACAGAAUUCUUGUUCUUCAACCCAGUCUUUAAGAAUGGAAAUGUACAGUGUAGUGGAAAGUUGGGCUUUACUUUUGUGGUGGAUUUGACUAGGAAUGGUCCCCAGAGCCUCAUAAAUUUGAAUGCUUGGCCAUUAGGGAGUGGUGCUACUGGACAGGGGUUAGGGGGUGUGGCCUUAUUGGAGGAAGUGGUCAUAGGGGGCGGACUUUGGGGUUUCAAAUAUUCAAGCCAGUACCAGUGUCUCUGCUGCCUGCAGACCCAGAUGUAGAACACGCCACUCCGUCAGCACCACAUCUGCCUGCAAGCUGCCAUGUUUCCUACCUUGAUAAUGGACUGAACCUCUGAACCUGUAAGCCAGUCCCCAUCAAAUGUUGUCCUUUAUAAAAGUUGUCAUGGUCAUGGAGUCUCUUCAUAGCAAUGGAAACUCUAACUGGCUAACUUUAUAUCAAUAUUUUUUUAUUUUGACCUAAGAAAUUGCUUUUUAUAUUUAUUUUGCGAAAGGAUGUCACUGAAUUGAUCAGGCUAUCCUUCAACUUACUCUGUAGCCCAGGCUAACCCUGAAUCAGCCUCAGGAGUAGCUGGGAUUACAGGUGUGUACCACCAGAGGGUUUUCUUGUUUUUUUUUUUUUUUUAAGUUGGUCCCACUAUGUAACACAGGAAGUUCUGAAACCCUCUGUAGACCAGGCUGGCUUUGAGUAUAUAAAGAUCUACCUACCACUGCCUCCAAAGUGCUGGGGUCAUAGCUUUUAUCUUUCACAAAUGUUUGGCUUUCUAGUUUGUCCUCACCUUUUCUCUUAUGGAAGAAAAAUCAUCUAGGACAAGAGGAGUUUAUACUCAGUUUGUGAAAACAUUUUUUUUUCUUAAUAAAAUUACUAUAUAUUUUUUGAAAAUCUAUAUCUGAAACAUGGCAAAAACCAUUAACAUGGAUGAGAUUUAUUGGUUUGGGAGAGUGACUGUCUAGCAUGGAUGAACCCCUCCCUAUAAUCCCUACUGCCGCAUAGACCAGGCUUGGUUCACUUUAGGCAUGCUGUUUGUAGUUCCAGCACUCAGGAGUGCAGACAUGGGCAGAUUAGAAGUCAACAAAUUAGCUGGGCAUGGCAGUGCACACCUUUGAUCUCAGCACUUGGGAGGCAGAGGCAGAGGCAGGCGGAUUUCUGGGUUCAAGGCCAUCCUAGUCUACAGAGUGAGUUCCAGGACAGCCAGGACUACACAGAGAAACCCUGUCUCCCAAGCCCCCCCCCCCCAAAAAAAAAGAUAAAACAACG
ensembl:lincRNA Platr1 pluripotency associated transcript 1